rnacentral:rRNA from 1 species
GACAGAGGGUGCAAACGUUGCUCGGAAUUACUGGGCGUAAAGCGCGUGUAGGUGGCCACGCAAGUCAGGUGUGAAAGCCCAGGGCUCAACCCUGGAAGUGCACAUGAUACUACGUGGCUGGAGUACUGAAGAGGAGAGCGGAAUUCCCGGUGUAGAGGUGAAAUUCGUAGAUAUCGGGAGGAACACCAGUGGCGAAGGCGGCUCUCUGGGCAGAUACUGACACUGAGACGCGAAAGCGUGGGUAGCAA